ensembl:lncRNA
CUGAUAAUGCUGUUCUUCUGCUGUAUUGCAGGUUGGAGUCUACUUGCCACAGACUGCCUGCAGUCAUUUCCAUUCCACAAUUCCCACAAGAUGUCCAGAGCUGCUUAGAUGCUAAAGAACCGGUCCACAAGAAACAAAAGUACCGUAACAAAAUAAUUGGGAAUCUGUAUGACAUGCUGUCACAGUGUACAAUGUAAGUGUUCUUUUUAAAACUUUUAAAUUAAACCUUUGCAAGUAAAUACCAAUACUUUAUCCAUACACCUGUUCAACAAGCAUACAUUUAAACAGGUAGAAAGUGAUAUUUAAAUUUUCUCCUGCAGUCUCUUAUUCACCGUAAUAUGGUAAUGUGGUUUGUUUUGUCAUUGUUUGAGACAGGUAUCCAACCAACUCGGACUACGUUCAGGUCGUUAAAGCGUUCAUUGGGAAGUACCCUUUCUUAAGGGAUGUACACGGGAAUGGUUAUGUAAGUACCUCUCCUUUGGGCUCUAAUUUUAACAGAUUUUAGAUUUACAGAAGUAUGCAUAAUUAACUUUCAUUAUAUCUGUUUGGAACAACCAGCAUACCUGGCACAGCCAACUCAAGAGAAAAUUCAAAACAGAACGGGCUCCACUAAUCAACAAUGAGGAAGUAAAACGGGUCAAAGAAAAGUUUCGGCAAGCAAGAUCACUGAAGACCCCAGAAGAAUCUACAUCCACAUGUCCAAAACGACUGAAGCCAUCUCUAGUAAGUCCCCUCAAUCUCACAUAAGCUAAGGCAAGAUCACAUUGUUAUAUUGUGUACAUAUGAUCUGUAACCAGUGACAUCUGCUUUGAUAAUGGAAUCAUGCAUUGUGGGGGAGGAUGCAACCUCUGUUGAGGCUCAUAUCAACAGAAACAGAAAGUUGCAUCCCGACAUGAAUCUGGUGAAAGACCGCAUGAUGAAAACCUUUGCAUGGAGACGCCGAGAAAUAGCAAAAGGAAUGUCAACUGAAGAUCUGUUGAGGAGAUAUCCAUUCCUAAGAACAUCCGCUGGGGUAAGAACAAUUAAGCUGCUGCCAACUUCAGCCACAGUCAGUGCUUUAAAUUGCUCCUGGUCUAUAUAUUAACACUUAACAGAAAUUCUGAAAAAAGGUUCAUAUAGACUUCUCCUACAGUUGUAAUUAAUUUCCAUUUGUAAGAUUUUACUGCAUCUGUCCUAGCUGCCACUUCAGCGUUCCUCCUAUGCCUUUCUUUCCCCUAUUUUCUUUUUAAAAUCUCAGUUGUGCGAUGAGCUUGAUGCCAUGCACCCCUCUCCAGUCAACAUAUGCCACCGCAUCAGUGAGAACUUCACAUCUAUUCUCCCAAAUAUGCUGAAACUUGUCAAGGAUUCGCCACUGAGAAAACUAUACAUGGAAGCAAGAGAGGAUGCCUUGGCUGAGGAUAUUAAAGGUACUGAUUUAAGCACAUACAACUAGUUAAUUUUGCUCAGUCCGUUUUUUUUAACGAGACUGUGUACAGUUCCACUGAACUGGUAUUGCAUUGUUAAUCUGUGGCACCUAGUGGGUGUAUAAUGUAUCAAACAUCUUGAUGAUGUUUAAUUUGUUUAUUUCUCACAUCAUCAUUUUAAAAGCUAAUACAUUUUAGUUUAUUGUACUGAACCUGUAGUAACAUGCGGUAGUCUGUCUUGGAAUUUACAGGUUAUUUGUAUCCUGGUGUCCUGCAUAGCCACUAGCCAUAAGUUAAUGUUCUUUUAGAUCACUGUGCAUGCUUAAUCAAAUUGAUCUUGUUAUGUAUGCUAACAUUCUUUUCUCUUAUGCAGAAAAAUCCAUAACUCCAUAUCCAACCGUUCAACUGAAAGCACAAGGGUGGAAAUUUGCCCUCUCCAGACAGUGCCAGAGUGUGGUCAAUGUCGAGGGAAUUGAGGUCUGUUCUUGCACUUCGGUGGAUGAGGCCUUCAUUGCAGCCUUCUGCAUGUACUUUGUCUUCAACAUGGCAUAUCCUGGAUACUUGAAGAAGACACUGACCUUUCUCCAGAGGCUCAUCGCAAACAUCACGGGGGAUGGAGACAAAUCCCUGCCGGUAACUGUAACUCGAAUUGUCAACCUUCUUCACUGAUCAUGCCUGGACUGCAUCAGUGUACAAAAUGCUCAAAGAGGACCUUUACUCUUAGAAAACUGAUUCAUCAUAUUGGACUUGUACAUGCACACGACCCUCAUUUCAACAUAAGCUGUGGGAUAAGUAACUGCCAGUCUGCUUUUUCCAAGUAUCAUUCUUUUAGGCGGCAUGUUUAUCAAAAAUUCUUGAAAAUUAAGUUCAUUCUGAACGUUGAGACUUUGUGGGUGUUGUGUGGGAAACUUUUACUGCCUUGCUCUUAUGACAAUCACUUCCAUGCUUACCACGUCAAAGUUGACAAUGACUGGAUUUUACUCAGUCCAGGAAAUGAGUUGGACCAUCAAGCUCUCGACACAUAUUUAGUUGAUGAUAGACUGUAUGUUUCCUUGAGGUAUUCUGUGUAAGUAUGUUCUAUCUAAAUGUGUGUUACUUUUUGAAGUAUUCUGCCUCAUGUUAAUGUGACUGCAAUCUUUACAUAUUGUAAUGUUAUGCAUUGACAUUGAUUCAUUUUAUAUGUAGCUAUAUAGAAUUGAAUGAAUUAAGAUUUUUACACUAUAAAUGCUGCCAUGUUUUUCUCCAAACAUACAUUUUCAUUGAUGUUAAUAAAUGGUAAAGAAGCAAUUAUUGUGUAGACAAUUCUGGUACAUUUUUGUCUCCUUAAAGUCCAGAAUAGCUUGUCACUGGGGGGGUACCCUUUUAAAAUUGCUGUACCUUAUAGAUUAAAGGUACAUUUAUGUCUUGCAGGGUACACAACUGUACUUGAACUGGUACAAUUUGAUAAGGUACAUAAAUGGACCAGGACUGAAAGGUACACAAUUGUCUCUCAAAAGGGUACCUCCCCUGGGACAAGCAUUUGUAUCAAUUUAGGUACAAACUGGUACCUCGAUUUUUGACUGUGUGGCAAUGGCAAAGGGCAUGGGUACAUAGCGGGUUCUCUGACAAGAGGUACAAGACGAACUGGCACAGGACAAUGGGAGGUACGGACAAUAUAUACACAAGGGCACCGAUGGAAACUAUCAGGGGCAGGGGAGACAAUAGGACACAGUUAGAAGAAGCAAGAUGCCUGAAACCAGAGGAAAGUUAACUUUAACUUAUUAACGUUUCUUGGACAUGACAAAAUCGGGCCACGCAAUUCCCAGGUUAUUGUCAAUGUUUAUUUAUUUAUUUCUAUUUCAGAUUAUUGUUAAUUGGUAUUGUUAAUUUUGGACAAAGAAAAGGCUGUCUCUGCCCUUCCUACUGCCAGAUUUCAGUGCUUCCAAACUGUCUGUAUUCUCUGUUUGUCUACGGCUUUUUCUGUCUUUGUUGUCUCGUAUUCCCUUGGGGUCUCCCCCUGCCUCUCGAGCCCUCAAGUCAUGUAGAUCUUUGCUCUGCUCGUCCUUCUCUUCCUUGUUUCCUUCUGGUGAGGAGAGAGGAGAAAGGGUAACGUUUGGAUUAGUUCAAACCGUAUAUCGGAGAAAAGGCCAGCCUGACAUUUUACACAGCUGUUACAUUUGAUUGGGCUUCAGUAUGUGAGUGUGUGUGCGCGUGUGAGUGUGUGUGUGAGGUCUGGAGGGAAAAGCUUGCAUAAUGAGAAGGAGAAGGAAAAGAGAUGAAGAUAUGGUUUAUAGAAUAAUCAUCUCCCCUCCCUCCAUCUGCAGCCUCUUCACUCCUGCGUCUUCUUUCUUCACUCACCUCAUUCGCUCUUUUUUACCUCACAUUAUUCUAUGAGUUUCUGUGUCUCAUUCCAUAGUCAUGUCUUGUGGAAUAUUGAUUUGAGUUGAGACUUGCAGAUUUCAUGUCUGAUGGCAGUUCACUCCCUUAACUCGUGCUUUUUCCAUCUGGUCCUCCCAAACAAGAACAGACAGAAAGUCCCUGUAAAAAGAUUCCUGUGGGUCUACGCGUCAACAUAUUCCUUCACUUAUUCCACAGUUUAUAUUGUCUGUUAGUCUGUUAACUGAGACUCUCAUUUUGGUUCAUUAAAAAUCAUUCAUUCAUCUAUUUAUCGUUCUGUCUGCUGCUUCUUUCAGCAAGCCAUACAUCCAUAGUACAUAUUCAAUAAUGGCACCCCUGCACACUAAAAAACAUUCUGGAGAAGGGGUGUAUCAAGUCGCACUGGAUUGCCAGUUCACACCUCACAAAAUCUUUGGAAACCUGAAUGUUUUGUUUGUGUCUAAUGCUGCAGAGAUCUUAAUCAUUGUUGUACAAUUGUUCUGCAAAAAGCACAACCUGUUGACAGCACUUCAUUCAAAAAUGGUAAGACCGUGCCACGCCACAAAGAGGAAAACCGAAAUUGGACAGUCGCAGGAAUACAAAAAUGGUUUCAUUUGAUCUAAGUGGAAGUCCUUGAGUACUUCAUAGUAGUGUGUCACCCCCCUUAGUAGCCAUGCUUAAUCUGUUUCAUUUUUUUGGCUACAGACCUCUUAUGUAAAUGGGAAUAUCACUGCUGGGGCUGUCAGAAUUCUGUGUGUAGGACGCUGUAAACAGAGCUAGCGGGCCGUGUAGGCAGCAGAUCACAAUCUCAAUGGGAGAGCGAUCCAACUCUGUGGGGACGGGAAGACACCAUUUAUGAGAGAGACAUGCAGUGAUUUCUCCAGACAGAACAAGCAUAAAAAAGGCUUUCUUUGUGUGUGAAUAUGGAAAUAGGGCAGUGCAGUGCAAGGGUCCUCCGAGACACUUUAAUUAUGAAUAGGAAAUGAGAGAGACAAAGCAGAGUGGAUCUUUUUCCUCUCACUGAUGUCUGCGACAAUGGGACUUUGACAUGUGUUUUUGUAGGAAAUGAAAGCAAUAUGAUUUAGGAUGUCUGAUGAAAAUACAAUGGAGAGUAUAGGUCAAAGUGGCAUCGUGGCUAGCGUCCCAACCACCUAGUGAGGAUUCGUACACGCAUUCAGAGCAGUGCAUAUCUUUCCUGCAGGUCAGUGCGAAGUCUUUGCAUGUGAUGUGACAGCAGGAGCUGCUUUUUUCACUCGCUCACCCCAGCAGAGCACAUUUUCAGAGGCAUUGAGGCUUGUGGUGGGUUCUGAAUUAUUCCACCACAUUCCAGCAGAGCUAACCCUCCUAACCUUAUAUUUCCAUUGUCGUCCGAAACGUGUGACAGAGAGCUUUGCUCAAGUUAAUUCCAGCUUGUUCUAAGCUGCUUUUAUUUCAAAACUUGACGCUCAUACAUGAAGCAUCGUAUAUCGUUGUCCUCUGAGACAUCUGGAGAUGGUCCAGCUGUGUGGCAGCAGGUUAAUAGGUCAACUAUAGUGUAGAUAUCAUAUCAUGAUAUUUUGAUUACGCUGUUCCACCUUUAGGGCAUAAUGUGUGUUGACAUGGUGUGAAAUGUGCAUACACACGGUUGAAUGGUUAGAAUGGUUGAGUAUAAAAAAUUAUUGUCAUAAUGUGUGUAUUCAUUUUUGAUAAUUGAUUUUGACAUUAAAUGAAAGAUUGAAGGGCAUUCUGUGUAUUAUAAAACAUAUUUUAAUAGCUGUCUGUCAAAUGAUUGCAGUAAUAAUGUGGGUUUUAACAUCUCCUCUGUGAUGUGAUUCAAUAAAAUCCAAUAUCCCAUAAUUGUCACGGUUUGGGUUAAUGUCAUUUUAUUUUGUAGUUUUAUGCCUCUGGUCUUCCUGGGUAACUUCACUUCCUGCUUUGUCCUGUCAUCCCAUGUGAUUGUCUGCCGUGUCAUGAUUGUUUCCACCUGUGUCCAAUCACCUGCACCUCCCUAGUGUAUUUAAGCCAUGUGUGUCUUUGUUAAUUGUACGGAAGCCCAUGUCCACGUCAUAGGUCCUGUUUCCUGUUCCUCGACUACAUUUAUGCCAUUUUGGAUUUGAGUUUGGAAUUAUUGACUAUUAAAGUUCCUUUUUGUUUCCUGCAAACUCUGCGUCUGAGUCCUACCUUCCCCGAGAACCUUCCUGACAAUAAUAUUGUACACUAAAUAUACCUAUGAAAUGAUAAGGGCCAUGAGGCAGCUUUUAAACGGAAGUCUGAAAAAUGAAUGAAUAUAAUGUAUUAAUGGUCUAAUUCAGGGGUCCCCAAUAUCGAUCGCAAACGGUCGAUCACCAGGGCAGUGCUGGUAGAUCAACUGCAUUUCAAAAAAAAAAAAUCCUGUUGUGUCACCACACAUGCGCGGUCGACCGCUUGGUAGCAAUAACUAGCGAUCCUUGCCUAAUAACAAUCACAUUUAAUUUCAUUCAAAAGCAACCCUGGCUCCGAGUAAGGUAAUGACCAAGACUGUAUGAAAUGGUUAUGACGGUUCCCUCGCUUCUGACGUAUGAGUGGCUUGUUAUUAUUCAUAUUGAUUCGUCUGGCACUAUGCAGCGUUUUUGCUCCGCUCACCCGACUACAAGGCAGGUAGAUCGCCAUGACUUCAUCAAUUGAAAAAUAGCUUGCGAGCGUAAAAAGUGUGGGCACGCUUGGCCUGAAUAAAAUGUUUUCUUAUUGAAUGUGUCCAGUAACAAGUGUCUCUCUGCCUCAAACGGCCUUCUCCUGAUUAGUCGUUGGCACAGUACGAUGCCCUGUGGGAGUUUCACCUUCGUUUUAUUGUCAGGAAUUCAGUCGAAGGGAAGCACUUUGUACUAAUAAUAUGGGUUUACUAGAUAUGUCGUUUUUAUUUAAUAUAUAUUUCAUACAUAUGAAAAACUUCUUAAACAUAUUUCUAAUUAAGAUCAUCUUCUCAAAAUCCAUUCACUAUUGUUCACAGUAUUACUUGCCAUUGUCUUGCCAUAGUCUUUUGAAUCUAGUCAGCAGAGAGCAGCAAAUAUGAAAGUUCUGCUUAUGUAUGUUGAAGAUCAACCCAAACAACAACACAACAUUCUUUUGAAGAACUUUGCUGGGAUCUCAGGAACAACUCACUGCAGCACGAGGGAGAACAACGUGUCCUCCCUUGGAGCAGGUGCUCUAGUAGGCCGGUGUGAGCCUCUUUGUUUUUUCUCCAUGUUUGAAAAAUCAUUAUUAGAACAACCUGGAUACAGUAGAGAACAGAUGUGUAAACAAACAUUAAAGUCCUCUGGUGCUCUGAUUGGGGUUGGACAUGAAAUAUUCACCAAUAGGUGUGCGUGGCCUGGCUCUCAGCCCUCAGCCAGGACACCCUGCAUCUUUGUUUCCUUCCACAAAGCCCCACCACUUCCCCAUACAAGGGAAGAAAGGCACUAGAUGAGCCAGAUGGCCGUGGCUCCCAAACGCCCCCACCCAUAUGAAAUAUUCAGCCAAGAAAUGAAAACUUUAUGAUUGUCUUAAAAUAGGAAAGAAAAAGUAAACACCUGUUUAAAUGGCUAAGUUGCAAGACCCCAUGCCCCAAAAAACAUUUGGCAACUAUCUACAGGAUACAGGCGUAACCCUCAUUGUCUUGUCAAUCCUGGUGUUUGUAACACCCUCCUCCCCCAGAGAGAGGGGGGCUGAAGGCCGCUCAUGGGCCCUUAGCUGUGCUUGGUUUAGGGCAGAGAGCAGGUGGAAGGAGUAAAGAUUAGUACAUAAUAUCACUUCUUCCAUUGAGACUGUGUGAGCUUACUGAAAGGUUUCAACCUGCAAACGAGGAAUCAUCUUUAUGUGAUUAUUUGCUUCUAUAUCCACAGCAAGUAAGUUUGAAUGAAGCCAUAUUCCAAAUGUUUGUUUCAUUUUGUCAAAAUAUUAGAGUCAAACGGUUAUUGGGGGGGUUUGGAUCUGUCACAAUAUAUAUUAGAAGGUCCAACCUCUCAAAAUGAGUGCAUGAAAGAAGAUUGUAUUUUUUUUCCAAUUUACUUUCAAUUCAGGAAUGUGAAUAAAUGAUAAGUACACACUGUUCUGGCCAAGAAAAAACACAAAGAUGUUCCAUAUGAAUAAAAGAUAAAGAUUCAUAGUUUAGAGUUGUGGUGAAUGUGAUUAUUUCAUUUCUAAGUGGGUGAUGGCAGCAUGUCGGUUGCUUUAUGUGAAUGUACCCCAUGUAAAAAACAUGUAUACAUUCAGUAUUAAUAGUUUGACUCAAAUAAACAACAAAAAAGUUAAUCAAAAGUUAAGGUUAAACUACUAUUUCAUUUGUGUGAUAAAAUGUAAUGUUCAUGGGUACGAACGUUAAAAAUGCAUUGGUGUUUUUUAUGUAGCCUUUCUGAUAGAAGCUGAUAAUUUGAUGUUUUCUGUCCAGUAGAGGUGUAUGUGGUCACAUGACUGGGCUGACGGGGGCGCGCGUGAGAGGCGAGGAGCGCGCGAGAGAGGGAGGGAAUAGUUGGAACACGGGUUUUGUGUUAUGGAGUGCUACGAAGAGGGCAAUAUUUCCAUAAUGUAUAGAUAAUUUGUAGACUACCUGUGUGAGGAGUAGCAGUGAACUUCCACAUGAAGUUUGACAUGCUGUGACUUCAUGUUACUUCACUCGUUAAUUCAGCGAGUGGCUAAAGUAGCAACGUUAGCCUGCUGCUAGCUAACCCAGCUAACCGCCAAGGCUUUGUCUGGGCUGUUGGCAAAGGUGAACCGAGGGAGCACCACCAGAUAGCGCUUUGAGCAACCCGGUAAUGACCUGACCUAUACACUAGUAUUUCAUUUUAAGACGUUUCUGGGUGUGUUUAUUAUUUGCAAUGCUUAAAAAGUGAGAACAUCCAUUGAGAAGGUACAUUUGUCUGGCAGUCUGUUAAAAUAUAUCUGUGAGGUACGAAGUUUCUUUAUUGAUCCAAGAAUAAGAAUAUAGAGGUAAUUAGCAAUAAGAACACAAUUAAAUUAAGUAAAGAACUCCUUUCUACGAAUUCAUAGUAGACGGGCAUACAAUGAUGGUCUAGUGAGAAUAACUGAAGAUCUGUGAGGAUACAUGUUAAAAAAAAUUCACUGUGAGGUGGCAGUACAAAUAUCAAAUCAAAACAGAAAAAACAAACUUACGAACAUGAAUAUAAAGUCUUGUAUAAUUAUGUUUUAAAAAAUCCAGCUUCAUAUGAAAUUAACUGCUUUGGGUCAACCCACAGGUCAAUUUCACUAAAUUAACAACAGUAUUGUAUUUUUGUUUAAUAUGGGCUAAAAAAAGAUCACUGCUGUCCUGUCCUGGAUUUAAUGUUACAUGUUUCAUGUAACAUUAAAUCCAUCUUAUGUUUUUUAAAAUCUAUUCUUCACAUUCACUCUUAAUACCGCAUUGUUUUGUCCUUAUCAAAAGAACAGGUGCAUGAAGUGCAGGUAGCUUGCCUUAUUAUUUAAACCCGUGCAAUUAAUUGUAACUGAAGAAUAAACUAUUAAAAUGACUAAUGUGUGCAGUAUAUCCGACCCCACGAUGACAUCAGCAGUGUUUUCCCUCAUCUAAAUAGUCUCCCUUCCUCGGUGUUCCCACCUCUCAUAUUUUUCAGCUUUCAGUCAAAAAUAGACUGCAUCUUCACCUUUACCUCAGCGAAUACAUGUUCGAGUAGGAUGUGAUUUACGUUCUGCAUCCUGCCAGCAUGUGUGUGUGUGUGAGAGAGAGAGAGUGUGUUCGGCCUUAAUAACACUACCGUAUUCCUCAGAGAGUUAUCUGCUCAGAAUCAGUAGGGAUCUCUCUCUUCUCUCGGGGAGGUUUUUUUCUCCAAAGACUUGCUCUCCUCCCUGAGAUAUCAAUGAUGAACAACAACAUAGAAAGUAGGCCAAAAGCAUGUCUAAUCACUUCUCCUUCCAGCCAACUUUUGUCGAGGACAAAUGGGAGGGCAUCGUCAAAACCGGAGAAUUCCACCGUUACACAGGGACAGACUUGUGUUUUUCAACAAAAACAAUGUCUCAAGCUACCGAUUGAACCACCUGUUUUAUUGCAACCAUUCAUGUAAAAACCACAAAAAGUAAAACCACUGCAGACUUCGCUCCGUUGAAUGUGAAGUAGAGAGUACAACAGUAGACUUUGAGACAUACAAUGAAAUACAGCCUGCUUAGGAAACGGUUAGAAGUGGGCCAAAGGGAAGCAAAACACAAAGCAUCUACUAAAGAACAAGGACACAUUAUGAUGACUAUCAUGAAUGUACUAUGAGCUCCAGAUACAAAAGGUCAGAACACGCUAAUGAAUUAGGCUUAAAUGAGUUCCACUACCUGUUUUAAUGCACAGGUUUAAAAUUAUUCAAUUAUACAUGGCAUAAUUUUAAUGUCAAGGCACACAGAUGGGACUGAGGGGCGUGCUGAGGCAUUUGAAAUGUUUUAUUGUCCAAAACUGAGGCCAGGCACCCAGAUUAAGUGAAUAAUAUAAAAUGUAUUGAUGUAACCAAGCAAUAGCCUAAAAAGGGCUAAAUAACAUUAGAAGGCACACUGUUGAAAAAUCAAAGCAUACAUUUAUUAAUCCCAACGCUACAAAUACAUUAUAUAUAUUUUAAGAAUCCUGUUGAAAUUAGCAGAGCGAUGACUACGGCUCCCUUUUGGUUUCUCUCUGGGUUCAAUUUCAUAUUACUGUGAUACAUUUUGUAUAGCCCUACAAUCACACUUUAUAAUACAUGCAUAUGCAACAUCCUCUGUCCUUGGACCCUCAGCACAGAAAAAAGUCCCCCAAAAAAGAUUCAAACACAUCCAACACCCAGGCCAGUGCCCAAAGGCAAUGAAUGUAAGGGUCAUAUGGGUGACAUAUGAAGGUCAGUUGGUUGUUGAACAUACACAAGGUAAUUGGCGAUGAGAUUGAGGUGAGCUGCAUGCAGCAUUUGGGACAAAGAAGUGUUAAUUCACUUGGCCCCAUCCUGCUGACCGUAGCACUUUCUAUUCCGCAACUAAGGUGCUUAAUGUGAUCUUAGAACCAGAGCUUCUGAAUUCCUCACACGGCUCGAUUAUGCAGAUGGGAUCUGCUUUCAUAGAGAUAUCAGAAAGGGUGUGACAUAACGUAGUUCCAAAUGUUUCAUUAUUACAACGUAUUUAAAAGUAAUUUAAUACUUGUUUAAAAUCCAAUUCAGACAUAAAGUAAACGGUUAUUGUGUUGCAUUCUAGCUGGUCUGCAGUUGAUUUUGUUUUUAUGUACUUUUGAUACAUUUGAUUUGAUUUCAUUAUUUACAAUGGAUUUAAGCUGUUGUUUCUUCUCAAUCAAAAAUAAGACUUGAUUUUUGUCUAAUAAAAAUUCAUCAGUGCAUCGUACAAAAUUAUAUAUAUAUA